GCGGUAGAGGAGCGUUCUGUAAGCCUGUGAAGGUGAGUUGAGAAGCUUGCUGGAGGUAUCAGAAGUGCGAAUGCUGACAUGAGUAACGACAAUGGGUGUGAAAAACACCCACGCCGAAAGACCAAGGUUUCCUGCGCAACGUUAAUCGACGCAGGGUUAGUCGGUCCCUAAGGCGAGGCUGAAAAGCGUAGUCGAUGGAAAACAGGUUAAUAUUCCUGUACUUCUGGUUAUUGCGAUGGAGGGACGGAGAAGGCUAGGCCAGCUUGGCGUUGGUUGUCCAAGUUUAAGGUGGUAGGCUGGAAUCUUAGGUAAAUCCGGGAUUCUAAGGCCGAGAGCUGAUGACGAGUUAUCUUUUAGAUGACGAAGUGGUUGAUGCCAUGCUUCCAAGAAAAGCUUCUAAGCUUCAGAUAACCAGGAACCGUACCCCAAACCGACACAGGUGGUUGGGUAGAGAAUACCAAGGCGCUUGAGAGAACUCGGGUGAAGGAACUAGGCAAAAUGGCACCGUAACUUCGGGAGAAGGUGCGCCGGUGAGGGUGAAGGACUUGCUCCGUAAGCUCAUGCCGGUCGAAGAUACCAGGCCGCUGCGACUGUUUAUUAAAAACACAGCACUCUGCAAACACGAAAGUGGACGUAUAGGGUGUGACGCCUGCCCGGUGCCGGAAGGUUAAUUGAUGGGGUUAGCUAACGCGAAGCUCUUGAUCGAAGCCCCGGUAAACGGCGGCCGUAACAAUAACGGUCCUAAGGUAGCGAAAUUCCUUGUCGGGUAAGUUCCGACCUGCACGAAUGGCGUAACGAUGGCGGCGCUGUCUCCACCCGAGACUCAGUGAAAUUGAAAUCGCUGUGAAGAUGCAGUGUAUCCGCGGCUAGACGGAAAGACCCCGUGAACCUUUACUAUAGCUUUGCACUGGACUUUGAAUUUGCUUGUGUAGGAUAGGUGGGAGGCUUUGAAGCGUGGACGCCAGUUCGCGUGGAGCCAUCCUUGAAAUACCACCCUGGCAACUUUGAGGUUCUAACUCAGGUCCGUUAUCCGGAUCGAGGACAGUGUAUGGUGGGUAGUUUGACUGGGGCGGUCUCCUCCUAAAGAGUAACGGAGGAGUACGAAGGUGCGCUCAGACCGGUCGGAAAUCGGUCGUAGAGUAUAAAGGCAAAAGCGCGCUUGACUGCGAGACAGACACGUCGAGCAGGUACGAAAGUAGGUCUUAGUGAUCCGGUGGUUCUGUAUGGAAGGGCCAUCGCUCAACGGAUAAAAGGUACUCCGGGGAUAACAGGCUGAUACCGCCCAAGAGUUCAUAUCGACGGCGGUGUUUGGCACCUCGAUGUCGGCUCAUCACAUCCUGGGGCUGAAGCCGGUCCCAAGGGUAUGGCUGUUCGCCAUUUAAAGUGGUACGCGAGCUGGGUUUAGAACGUCGUGAGACAGUUCGGUCCCUAUCUGCCGUGGACGUUUGAGAUUUGAGAGGGGCUGCUCCUAGUACGAGAGGACCGGAGUGGACGAACCUCUGGUGUUCCGGUUGUCACGCCAGUGGCAUUGCCGGGUAGCUAUGUUCGGAAUAGAUAACCGCUGAAAGCAUCUAAGCGGGAAACUAGCCUCAAGAUGAGAUCUCACUGGAACCUUGAGUUCCCUGAAGGGCCGUCGAAGACUACGACGUUGAUAGGUUGGGUGUGUAAGCGCUGUGAGGUGUUGAGCUAACCAAUACUAAUUGCCCGUGAGGCUUGACCCU
rnacentral:rRNA from 1 species